rnacentral:rRNA from 1 species
UACGUAGGGAGCGAGCGUUGUCCGGAAUUACUGGGUGUAAAGGGAGCGUAGGCGGGAGAGCAAGUCAGCUGUGAAAACUAUGGGCUUAACCCAUAGACUGCAGUUGAAACUGUUCUUCUUGAGUGAAGUAGAGGUAGACGGAAUUCCGAGUGUAGCGGUGAAAUGCGUAGAUAUUCGGAGGAACACCAGUGGCGAAGGCGGCCUACUGGGCUUUAACUGACGCUGAGGCUCGAAAGUGUGGGGAGCAAACAGG